GCCGGGCGCAGUGGCGCACGCCUGUAAUCCCAGUGGCUUGAGAGGCUGAGACGGGAGAAUUUUGAGUUCAGAGCUGGCCUCAGCAACUGCGAGAUGCUAAGCAACUCAGUGAGAUCCUGUCUCUA
rnacentral:sRNA from 1 species